rnacentral:rRNA from 1 species
GACGAACGCUGGCGGCGUGCCUAAUACAUGCAAGUCGAACGAACCGCGACUAGGUGCUUGCACUUGGUCAAGGUGAGUGGCGAACGGGUGAGUAACACGUGGGUAACCUACCUCAUAGUGGGGGAUAACAGUCGGAAACGACUGCUAAUACCGCAUAGGACAUAGGAUCACAUGAUUCUGUGAGGAAAGGUGGCGCAAGCUAUCGCUAAGAGAUGGACCCGCGGUGCAUUAGCUAGUUGGUAGGGUAAAGGCCUACCAAGGCGAUGAUGCAUAGCCGACCUGAGAGAGUGAUCGGCCACAUUGGGACUGAGACACGGCCCAAACUCCUACGGGAGGCAGCAGUAGGGAAUCUUCCGCAAUGGACGCAAGUCUGACGGAGCAACGCCGCGUGAGUGAAGAAGGUCUUCGGAUCGUAAAGCUCUGUUGUUAGAGAAGAACAGCGCAUAGAGUAACUGUUAUGCGUGGGACGGUAUCUAACCAGAAAGCCACGGCUAACUACGG